rnacentral:rRNA from 1 species
GACGAACGCUGGCGGCGUGCUUAACACAUGCAAGUCGAACGGAAAGGCCCUGCUUUUGUGGGGUGCUCGAGUGGCGAACGGGUGAGUAACACGUGAGUAACCUGCCCUUGACUUUGGGAUAACUUCAGGAAACUGGGGCUAAUACCGGAUAGGAGCUCCUGCUGCAUGGUGGGGGUUGGAAAGUUUCGGCGGUUGGGGAUGGACUCGCGGCUUAUCAGCUUGUUGGUGGGGUAGUGGCGUACCAAGGCUUUGACGGGUAGCCGGCCUGGGAGGGUGACCGGCCACCUUGGGACUGAGGUAGGGCCCAGACUGCUACGGGAGGCAGCAGUGGGGAAUAUUGCACAAUGGGCGGGAGCCUGAUGCAGCAACGCCGCGUGCGGGAUGACGGCCUUCGGGUUGUAAACCGCUUUCGCCUGUGACGAAGCGUGAGUGACGGUAAUGGGUAAAGAAGCACCGGCUAACUACGCG